rnacentral:rRNA from 1 species
UGGGGAAUAUUGCACAAUGGGGGAAACCCUGAUGCAGCGACGCCGCGUGAGUGAAGAAGUAUUUCGGUAUGUAAAGCUCUAUCAGCAGGGAAGAAGCAAGACGGUACCUGACUAAGAAGCCCCGGCUAACUACGUGCCAGCAGCCGCGGUAAUACGUAGGGGGCAAGCGUUAUCCGGAUUUACUGGGUGUAAAGGGAGCGUAGACGGUAUGGCAAGUCUGAAGUGAAAGCCCAGGGCUUAACCCUGGGACUGCUUUGGAAACUGUUAGACUAGAGUGCUGGAGAGGUAAGUGGAAUUCCUAGUGUAGCGGUGAAAUGCGUAGAUAUUAGGAGGAACACCAGUGGCGAAGGCGGCUUACUGGACAGUAACUGACGUUGAGGCUCGAAAGCGUGGGGAGCAAACAGG